rnacentral:rRNA from 1 species
UACGUAGGGGGCAAGCGUUGUCCGGAUUUAUUGGGCGUAAAGGGCGUCUAGGCGGUCCAGUAAGUCCUGCGUGAAAGCUCCCGGCUCAACUGGGAGAGCGCGUGGGAGACUGUUGGGCUAGAGACUCGGAGAGGGGUGUGGAAUUCCCGGUGGAGUGGUGAAAUGCGUUGAGAUCGGGAGGAACACCAGUGGCGAAGGCGGCACCCUGGCCGAGUUCUGACGCUGAAGCGCGACAGCGUGGGGAGCAAACAGG